AGGCCAGUAGCUCCAACGGUAGAGCAGCGGUCUCCAAAACCGCGUGUUGGGGGUUCGAAUCCCUCCUGGCCUGCCAGUU
rnacentral:tRNA from 1 species